rnacentral:lncRNA from 1 species
GUGAGAUUUGGCAUUAUGUGGUUCCAGGACUCAGCUUUCAAAAUUCCCAGUAGGCCAGCUCCAACAUUCCAUGGCCAAACUUGCUUGACCUAGACUUGGGUCCCACUCCCUCAGUUUCUCCUGUGGGGAUUUCCUAAUUUAUCUAUUAAUGCCAGCCAGAAAGCCAUCUAAGAACAUAGGAGUUGAAACUGGUUGCCACAGAGCCACAGAGGGCAUAGAAGACAGAGAAGCACUUGCUUGCUGUGGCUGCUACUUUGAGUAGUCCUUAGGUAGCCCUGCUGUGGCAGUGUGUCCUUUACCAUUCCAGCCUGAGGAAUCUCUUCCCCAAGAGAACAGAUUUAAAACGGCUUUACAGAUAGCAGCAGCCCACAGGAAUCUGCUUUGGGCUUGACCCUAGCUAGUAGCAUCC